CUUCUUCUCCGGUUGGAGAUGGGGCGGCCGGGAGAAUUCCGGCGCGGUGGCCGGCGAGCCAUCGCGGCUGCGCCGCCGCGCCGGAGCUAAAAAAGCUCCCUUUUUUUGAUUUUUUUUCGCUCUUUCUCUUCUACUUCCCUCCCUCCGUUCACUUCUAAACCUAGAUGUUCAAAAACAUACACACAGAGACCUAGAUCUAAAGGUAAAGAAAAUACUACCUCUUUUUGUUUUUUCGUGAAUCCGGUUUUGUUAUGGUGCUGGCUUGCGCUGCUGCGUGCUUGGGGUCGUGUCGCUUCUGUGUGUGUGUGUGUGUGUUGUGUUGCGCGCCGGUUCUGCCUUCUUCUUUGGAUCUUGUUGUUGUUGUUUAUCGCUUGCGAUUGCUCCUGCUUCUGUUGCUUUUCUGUGUUUCUCUGUAUGUGUUUGUUGUGCGAUGCCGUCCUCUGCUUUUUUUUGUGUUUCUUCGUGUGCUCUGCCGUGUUCUGUUGUGUUUUGUUUUGUGUUGUGCAGGUCUCUAUUUAUAGUGCUGGGCUGAGGCUAGGGUUUGUUGAGAAUGAGCAGAAAAUCAGUAGCUUGUGGAGGAGAAAAAGGGAAACGCGUCUGUUUUUACUGGAUUUGUUUCAGAUGAGGCGUGAACUGGAUUUGGAUUGGGAUGGAAAAGGAACAGAACGUGUAUAAGGAUUGAGAUGAGAGACUGUUUAUCUGAAUUUGGACUAUUUUGUUGGACUUAUCAUUGGACAAUUUUGGGACUUUAAUUAAAAAGAAAAAUUAAUAAUAAAAGGAUAAUGUCUAUAUUUUUGGUUUUUAAAAAAAGGAUAAAAAGGAAAAUUUAAAAUGGGAAUGAAAGAAAUUUAAUCUAAAUUGGAC
rnacentral:lncRNA from 1 species